rnacentral:rRNA from 1 species
AUGAAUGAGGAGUUGUGCAAGCCUUAUUCGAAUGAUGAAAUCCGGGCUGCUCUCUUUCAAAUGGGGCCCACUAAGGCCCCAGGUCCUGAUGGUUUCCCUGCUCUAUUUUGCCAAACUCAUUGGAAUUUUCUGGGAGAGGAUAUUUGUCAGGCUGAUCGUGGUUUUUUGGAGGGGAGGCCCAUUCCUGAAGGCUUCUGUGAUUCGGUUAUUGUGCUAAUUCCGAAGACGACAUGACCAAAGCACCUAAAGAACUUCCGCCCCAUUAGUCUCUGCAAUGUGCUCUGUAAGAUUGCCUCCAAGGUUUUGGCAAAUCGCCUGAAGGUGAUCCUGCCCGUGGUGGUUUCGGAAUGUCAAAUUGCCUUUGUCCCCGGGAGGUUGAUCACUGACAACACUUUGACAGCAUAUGGAUGCUUGCAUACCAUCCGACAGCAGCGUGUGAAGAAACCUUUCUUUGAUUUAAAGAUAGACAUGAUGAAGGCUUACGAUCGGGUUGAGUGGAGCUAUCUCCACGGGUGUUUGAGCAAGUUGGGCUUCGCUCCUGCUUGGAUCGAGGCAGUGAUGAGAUGUGUUACCAACGUUCGUUAUGCGAUCAGAGUUAAUGGGGAGCUCACUGAACCUGUGGUUCCAUCCCGGGGUAUUUGCCAAGGGGACCCAAUCAGUCCAUACCUAUUCCUCUUAUGCACCGAAGGAUUGUCCAGUCUACUUUUUCAAAGGGAGAGUUGUGGUGCGCUACAUGGGAUUCGAAAUGGCUGCCAAGGCCCAUCUAUCUCACACCUCCUAUCCGCAGACGAUAGCAUCUUCUUUGCUAAGAGCGAUUCUCAGUGUGUGGACUCCUUGGAGGCAGUCCUCAGCUUAUACUGUGCUGGUUCGGGUCAAUCAAUCGAUAAGGAGAAAUCUUCGGUUUUCUUUGGGAGGCACUGCCCGGCCAAUGUUAAGAAUAGAGUUAAAUCUUAGUUGGGCAUCAACAAUGAAGCCUUUCACGACUCCUAUCUUGGUAUGCCCACUGAGGUUGGAAGAUCGCCGACGAGCACUUUUAAGUUCCUACCAGACAGAGGUCGGCAGAACAUCCACAACUGGUCUGAUCGGCCUAUGUCAAGAGCGGGGACAGAAACCUUGCUAAAAUCAAAAACUCAAGCUAUUCCGACCUUCAUAUCCAGCUGUUUUUGUCUUCUAGUAGCUACUUGUGAGAAGUUCUGCCAGAUCAUGGCUGAUCAAUGGUGGGGCCGAGAAGAUGGGAAGAAGAAACUACACUGGCGUACGUGGGAUUGGCUCUCGACACCAAAGUCCCUUGGUGGAAUGGGUUUCCGUGACAUGGCGUUAUUCAAUCACGCGAUGCUUGGGAAACAAGGGUGGAGACUUCUCACCGAGCCUCUAUCACUUUGUGUGCGUGUUUUGAAAGGGAGGUAUUUUCCAAACUGUGAUUUCUGGAAUGCUUCGGCUCUUCACACAGCCUCAGCAACAUGGCCUGGAAUUCUGCAUGGUCGUGACCUUCUGAAGAUGGGGGUUCAGUGGGGUAUUGGGGAUGGGAGGAGCACUCAUAUUCUGACUGGUCAUUGGAUCCCUUCAAUCCCUCCGGCGCUGCUUCAGCCCCUUUACCCCAUCCCUGCUUUAGCCAAGGUCCAAUGUUUGAUUGAUGAGGAGAGUGGAACAUGGAAUGAUGACUCGGUGAGGGCCUUUUUCUCGGAAGAUGUGGCCAACAAAAUUCUCCCAGUUCCUAUCUGCAGUUUUGGCGGCCCUAAUUUUGCUCGGUGGCCUUUUGGUAAAGGGAAAACUUUGUUUUUGCCACUCUAG